rnacentral:misc_RNA from 1 species
GAUGAAGAACGUAGCGAAAUGCGAUAAGUAAUGUGAAUUGCAGAAUUCAGUGAAUCAUCGAAUCUUUGAACGCACAUUGCGCCCUCUGGUAUUCCGGGGGGCAUGCCUGUUCGAGCGUCAUUAUAACCACUCAAGCUCUCGCUUGGUAUUGGGGUUCGCGGUUUCGCGGCCCCUAAAAUCAGUGGCGGUGCCUGUCGGCUCUACGCGUAGUAAUACUUCUCGCGAUUGAGUUCGAUAGGUCUACUUGCCAGUAACCCCCCAUUUUUACAGGUUGACCUCGGAUCAGGUAGGGAUACCCGCUGAACUUAAGCAUAUCAAUAAGCGGAGGA